UACGUAGGUGGCAAGCGUUGUCCGGAUUUACUGGGCGUAAAGAGCGCGCAGGCGGUCGUUCAAGUCGCGUGUGAAAGCCCCCGGCUCAACUGGGGAGGGUCACGCGAUACUGAUCGACUCGAAGGCAGGAGAGGGUAGUGGAAUUCCCGGUGUAGUGGUGAAAUGCGUAGAUAUUCGGAAGAACACCAGUGGCGAAGGCGGCUCACUGGCCCGGUACUGACGCUGAAAUACGAAAGCGUGGGGAGCAAACAGG
rnacentral:rRNA from 1 species